UACGGAGGGUGCAAGCGUUGUUCGGAAUCAUUGGGCGUAAAGCGCGUGUAGGCGGCUUGGCAAGUCGGUUGUGAAAACUCGGGGCUUAACCCCGGGCCUGCAGUGGGUACGGGCAGACUAGAGUGCGGUAGGGGAGACUGGAAUUCCUGGUGUAGCGGUGAAAUGCGCAGAUAUCAGGAGGAACACCGGUGGCGAAGGCGGGUCUCUGGGCCGUAACUGACGCUGAGGAGCGAAAGCGUGGGGAGCGAACAGG
rnacentral:rRNA from 1 species